UUAUGGCUCAGAACGAACGCUGGUGGCGUGUCUUAUACAUGCAAGUCGAGCGAGGCAGCAAUGCCGAGCGGCGAACGGGUGAGUAACGCGUAAGCAAUCUGCCCCAUAUCAGGAAAUACCCGUGCCAACGCGCGGUUAAUGUCCAGGAGAGUGGCCCUCUGCAUGGAGGGUUGACUAGAGAUUUAUCGGUAUGGGAUGAGCUUGCGUCCGAUUAGCUAGUUGGCGGGGCAACGGCCCACCAAGGCGACGAUCGGUAGCCGGCCUGAGAGGGUGAUCGGCCACAUUGGGACUGAGAUACGGCCCAGACUCCUACGGGAGGCAGCAGUAGGGAAUAUUGCACAAUGGGGGAAACCCUGAUGCAGCAACGCCACGUGUGGGAAGAAGCAUUUCGGUGUGUAAACCACUGUCAUGAGGGAAUAAGGCCCGCUUUCGGGCGGGAUUGAAUGUACCUUGAGAGGAAGCACCGGCAAACUUCGUGCCAGCCGCGGC
rnacentral:rRNA from 1 species